CGCGUGUACUGGUCCGGCCGGGCCUUUCCCUCCGUGGAACCCGAUGCCCUUCACUGGGUGUCGUGGGGAAACAGGACUUUUACUGUGAAAAAAUUAGAGUGCUCCAGGCAGGCCUAUGCUCGAAUACAUUAGCAUGGAAUAAUAGAAUAGGACGUGUGGUUCUAUUUUGUUGGUUUCUAGGACCGCCGUAAUGAUUAAUAGGGACAGUCGGGGGCAUCAGUAUUCAAUUGUCAGAGGUGAAAUUCUUGGAUUUAUUGAAGACUAACUACUGCGAAAGCAUUUGCCAAGGAUGUUUUCAUUAAUCAGGAACGAAAGUUAGGGGAUCGAAGACGAUCAGAUACCGUCGUAGUCUUAACCAUAAACUAUGCCGACUAGGGAUCGGACGGUGUUAUUUUUUGACCCGUUCGGCACCUUACGAGAAAUCAAAGUGCUUGGGCUCCAGGGGGAGUAUGGUCGCAAGGCUGAAACUUAAAGAAAUUGACGGAAGGGCACCACCAGGGGUGGAGCCUGCGGCUUAAUUUGACUCAACACGGGGAAACUCACCAGGUCCAGACACAAUGAGGAUUGACAGAUUGAGAGCUCUUUCUUGAUUUUGUGGGUGGUGGUGCAUGGCCGUUCUUAGUUGGUGGAGUGAUUUGUCUGCUUAAUUGCGAUAACGAACGAGACCUUAACCUGCUAAAUAGCCCGUAUUGCUUUGGCAGUACGCUGGCUUCUUAGAGGGACUAUCGG
rnacentral:rRNA from 1 species